CAAACUAAAGAUGGCGGCCGGCGCACGGGUGAGUAACACGUAUCCAACCUGCCGAUAACUCGGGGAUAGCCUUUCGAAAGAAAGAUUAAUAUCCGAUAGUAUAUUAAAACCGCAUGGUUUUACUAUUAAAGAAUUUCGGUUAUCGAUGGGGAUGCGUUCCAUUAGUUUGUUGGCGGGGUAACGGCCCACCAAGACUACGAUGGAUAGGGGUUCUGAGAGGAAGGUCCCCCACAUUGGAACUGAGACACGGUCCAA
rnacentral:rRNA from 1 species